rnacentral:rRNA from 1 species
UACAGAGGUCUCAAGCGUUGUUCGGAUUCAUUGGGCGUAAAGGGUGCGUAGGUGGCGCCGUAAGUCAGGUGUGAAAUUUCGGAGCUUAACUCCGAAACUGCAUUUGAUACUGCGGUGCUUGAGGACUGGAGAGGAGACUGGAAUUCACGGUGUAGCAGUGAAAUGCGUAGAUAUCGUGAGGAAGACCAGUGGCGAAGGCGGGUUUCUGGAGAGUUCCUGACGCUGAGGCACGAAGGCCAGGGGAGCAAACGGG